AGCAGACACGGGGAGCCUUCUUCCGGCCACAGCACAGAGCUCCGGUCGCAGCUCUUUAGCGGGACUUGGGUCACAUGGCCUUUCCCGGCCAAUCAGAUGGCUAGAGUCAGGAGCCACUCUGAUUGGCCGAGCCGGGUCACGUGCACGCCCGUGGCGCUUCCCCCCCCCCCCACCCUCACCACUGGACUAGAAGGGGGCCGCAGGGGCUCCUGUCCCAAGUUGGGGUGCUUUUCUCGGAGGGGCGCUGUGGGGCUUUGGGCUCCUCACCCUGGCCCCUCGCGACUUGGUCGGUCAGCAAGACCCCAACCCCCAAGACCCCGGCCCAAAGCACUAUGGGCACAGGGGGUCCCCCGGGCCUUGGGCUGGAGGCCAUGCGUCUUGCAGCGCACCUGUGCAGCAGCAGGUGCUGGGUCCGCGGGCCAAGUGCAGGCGCAGCGCACCCCCCACCCGCCCCCGCCCGAAGGCAGCAGCUCACCAAACCGAACCAACCAGAAACCUCGAUCAUUUCCUGAACGUUUACUGCUGACACCCCGUGGAGAUGGAAAAAAUGAAAACCUGUCCAGCGACCCAGGUUCCACCUGCUGUACCCGGUCCAACCUCUGCUUUCCAGGCAGAUAGGACAAGAGCUAGCCUAGCCCUCUUCAAAUCCAGCCCAGACAGAGGCUGGUUGGGCUGGUUCCCGUCCUCUGGCGGGAAAGGCCAGGGGGUCGCCAGCCCCAGACCUUGAGCCCCAGGAGCAGCUCUGGCUGCAGAGGGAUUUGCAAAUGAAUCUAGGGAGCCUCCGGGAAAGCAGCAGACUGCCCGGACCCACCGCCUGGCCCUUGCGGGCAGCGGAGACUUGCCGAUGAGAAGGCCUAAUCUGGAUGGACACGCUCCGGCCCCGGACCCAGCUCUGCCUGUGAAUUUCCACACGGCAACGACACGCAUCCUGGUCCGGACGUCGUGGGCUCAGCGUCAGGACGCGUGUGCCCGGGUGGUGGCUACCGAGUGACGUGGACAGACUGUGUGUGCUCUACGAGCCAAAUCGGCGGUAAUUAUUCCCUGUGGCAGAUCUGGAGCAAACACCCUCCAAAUUACCGUUGCCAUUUGGGUACUAAAAUGAACGAUUUGAAAGAGAAAGGCUGGUGAGUGAGCAAAGCCCUGAACACGCUCGCCGAUAUUUCGUCUUCAGAGGAGGAAACCGUGGGCAUGUUCAUAUCCCGUCCUCUUUCUGGCUGAGGCCUCGGAGCCUGGGGCCUGCUUCGGAUUCUGUGUCUCCCUCUCUGUCUGCCCCUCCCCUGCUCACUCUUUCUCAAAAGUAAACGUGGAAAAAAAAUUUUUUUUAAUAAAAAGAAAAAAAACUCUCCCAGACACCCCAGAGCCCAGAAGCGCGUCGUGCGGCCGCGCUCAACAGCAAGGCAGUCAACAAGAGCCACGGCUUCUAGCGGGCUCGUCGCUGCCCCGGACAAGGGAGGCAGGACCCUCGGCAGGUCCCCGCUGAGACGCCCCCCAGGACACAGAGCGUGCCUUCCCCAGUGUGAAGGAACUCAGGACCCACGAGCCCUUCCUGAAGGAGACUGAGCACUGGGUCCGUGGGAGGAUGUACCCCAAGUGAUGCUGGACUCGCGGUCCCAGAACUGGACGUCAGCGCUGUAAAGCGGGACCCACAAAAAGACGGAUACGGCCAACAAGAGUCAGAGGACGAAGGACAGAAGAAGGCAGCAGGAGCAUAUCGACGAAAGGGAAGGCCGGGUUUCUCCUUUUCCACGCCCUCUCCAGGCACCCGCGUGGGCUCAGCAGCCCGGAAGCUCUCCUGACCCUGGGAUUUCUGUGGGGACCUCAUCACAUGGGCAGCUGCCUACCUGAGUUCAUUGGCACACGAACCCUUUGGGGAAAGAAGCCUGCAUUUCUGUCUUGGUACUUUUCUGCACCGAUUACAUUCUUUGGGAGAAAAUGCUUUCUUGCACAAAAACAAGAGAGUACCUUUCUCCAAAGGAAAAAUACAGAAGUGCCGGAAGCAAACGUGCCAGGAUUUUACCAGCUGCUACUGCCGGGCCAUAACAGUCCAAAUGCGUUCCUGGUGCUCCGCACCCCCCCACCCCUCCCACUGUGUUCCCCCGUGGGCCUCUGCGUGGAUUCACCCCAACCCAGGAGUCUACACAGCAGCAGGGAUCACCCUCCGCCGAGGGGGCCAACGGAUGCCCUUCUGGGUGCAGGCGAAGUGAUCUGGGGGCCCCGAGACAUGACUCCCAUUAGCUGCAGAUGCGGCCCUGCAGGGGCGACGGGCCUGGGAGAGGCGGUCGAGGGGAAGGUGAACUCAAGGUCUCAGCCACCCCAGGCACGGGCCCCAAUCUGGGGAGGGAAGUCGGGUGACACUAACACUCCCACCACCCCAGACUCGGAGCUCAGCACCCCCGGCAAGCGGGGUCUCCUCGCGCUCAGCCGUCUGUGAGCUGCUCAGCAAUUUGGACCUUUCACUCCUGACCAGGCCCAGUGUCCUUUCUCCGGCCUCCCUCCUUCCUCUCCUCCCUGCAGCUGCAGGGUCACGCCCCCUCCCCCAUGGGGAAGAACUCCCACCCUCCCAGUGAGGAGGGUUCAUGCCCCCGCCCAGCAAGGAGGAGUCACGCCCCCCCCCUCGAGUGGGGAAGGACCCCCGCCCCCUCCGCGGGACAGCAGGGUGGUUGGAAACGAACCCUCUGCUGGGCCUCCUAAAACCGUGGGCAGAAAGAGGCGGGGGCGCGGACUGCCCCUAACCGCCCUUCCAGAAGUCGGAUGACUAGGCCAGAAGGGCAGCCGGGAGCCCCCCAGCCCCCGGGCAGCAGCCCUGCACAGGUUUGGGUGAGGAGCCGGUUUCGGGUUUGCACCUGUCGGUGCGGCCCCGCGGUUGGAGCGGUUCCAGGGCCCCUGCCCAGCGCUCCCGGGCCCGGCCGCCACCGAGCUAAUUGCUUCAUAACGGAUGUGCGAGAACAGUCGGCAAUCCGGCACCGGUUCUCUGUCCACAAGUUGAGAUUGGAUGACUUUUUUAUCACUAAAUUAAAUUCCUUCUCUUACUUGUCUCCUUACAUUAAAUCUCUUUAAAUCUUAAUAGAGUGCAGCCUCUCCCUGCAGCUCAGGCCACUGAUAAGGCACGUGGGCUCUAGAACCCAGGGCUGGAGGGGCGGGGGUAGGCGAGGAGGAGAAGGAGACGGCGGCUCCGGAGGCUGGAAGGCCCAGGGGCGGAGAGGCUCCACGA